rnacentral:rRNA from 1 species
CUGCAACUCGACUACAUGAAGCUGGAAUCGCUAGUAAUCGCGGAUCAGAAUGCCGCGGUGAAUACGUUCCCGGGUCUUGUACACACCGCCCGUCACACCAUGGGAGUCGGAAAUGCCCGAAGUCUGUGACCCAACCGUAAGGAGGGAGCAGCCGAAGGCAGGUCGGAUGACUGGGGUGAAGUCGUAACAAGGUAAC